AUCCUCUUGUAGUUCAUGAACAUGAUGGGUGUUCACAUACAUAUGUGAGAUGUGCCACCCUCUGAACCUAGUUACAAUGUGGGGACAUUACCUGUCUGACC